UAAAAGACUACCAAUAUUGUUCUUUCUUGUGUGUGUUUAGAGAGAAGAGGUAUGUUGUAUUGUAUAAAGCAAUGAGCAACCUUUUUGAAGUUGGCUUGUGGCAAUUUAGUCAUUGAAACCAUAGUGGGAUAUGAAGUAGUUGACAGAUGAACCAUCUUCUCACCAAAAAUGACCAGUAGUUGUAGCUGAAGUCCCCAAUACUUAAAGGACCAGUGAGUUGGUACAUGUGUUGGAAGACUACGUGUG